UUGCAAAUCCAAAAGUUUUUUAAUUCCCUUUCUUACUCACCGAGAAAACCCUACUCUGCAACGAGAAUUGUUUGAACUCUGUCCACCAAAUUGACGUCUCCUUUUCAGACUCUUGAUUAUCUCUUUCGUUUUCCCCUUUCUCUUCUUCUUCGGUAGAGACAGCCACCAUGUUCUUCCACAUAGUGUUGGAAAGGAAUAUGCAGCUGCACCCUCGGCACUUCGGUCGUAACCUCCGUGAGAAUCUGGUUUCCAAACUCAUGAAAGAUGUCGAGGGGACUUGCAGCGGACGACAUGGUUUUGUAGUAGCAAUUACAGGAAUUGAGAAUAUUGGGAAGGGAUUGAUUCGUGACGGCACAGGUUUUGUCACUUUUCCUGUUAAAUACCAAUGUGUUGUUUUUCGACCAUUCAAGGGAGAAAUCUUAGAAGCAGUUGUUUCAAUGGUAAACAAGAUGGGUUUUUUCGCUGAAGCUGGACCUGUUCAGAUUUUUGUUUCAAACCAUUUGAUACCAGAUGAUAUGGAGUUCCAGUCUGGAGAUAUCCCAAACUACACCACUUCAGAUGGAUCAGUUAAGAUUCAGAAGGACAGUGAAGUUCGAUUAAAGAUUAUUGGGACUCGAGUAGACGCGACUGAAAUUUUUUGUAUUGGAACCAUAAAAGAUGACUUCUUGGGUGUGAUAAAUGAUCCUGCAGCAGCUUAGUGCAAUCUUGUUCAGGACAUUUUUCUUUGCGUUGGAGUUACCAGUUUGUAUCCUCUAUCCGCUAACCUUCUCAAACAAACUUCUUAUGACAUUUGUUUAGCUUGAUACAAGAACAAGGAGAUGAACUUGAUGCUGCCAACCAAGGAACCGGGGAAAGGAAGAUUGGAAUUAAGAAACAAUGGUUCUAGUUUUGAUUUCAUGAAUAUAGAUGAUGACGAGAAUGAGAUAAUGUAUAUGUUUCUCAAUUAUCCCCAGUAGUUUACAUCAUGAAGUCCAUUCUCUUUAUACCAUUCUCUUAUGAGGCUUUUUGUACAUCAUCAAGAGAGCGAAUUCGACUCGCGUGCGAUCAGCCAAUAGAUUUGGCCACAGAAGUCCAAAAUUGUUGGCAUGAGUAUAGUAUGAUGGGAUCAAGUUGUCUUUGUUCAUUGACUGACAUCGUCAGUAUCCCCUCGCUCGAUCUUAAAUUACCUCAUUGAAAGAAAAGUCCUUUCGCUUUA